rnacentral:lncRNA from 1 species
GUUGCUCAAAAUUCUUUGCACAGACCAGCAGUACUUCUUCAUCUUUCCAGUUUGCAGCUCUUAGAUGGAGUGAUGGUAACUCUGGAGGAGCGGACCAGGGCUGAGCUCUUAAAAGCAGAUCCAGCACAAUGCUCUCAAGUCGUUGGAGCGUCUUUCUCUACCACGGAAUUCAACCUGCCAGGGCUGCCCCCACUUCUGGCUUAUAACACGACUAUUAAAGGAAUAAGCAUAAAUGGCAGACCACAAAACCUCAUGCACGGACAUGAAACACUGACAGGCAAAAAGCACAAGCACGGUAAUGCUGGUCGAAGCAGCCAAACUGACUAUAACAUCAGACACAGUCGAAGAACGGGAAGUAACCCACCAGCAAGCCGCGUCCUGUUAGAGGGAAACAGAACUGCAAAUUCAAAAAAGGAGCCAGACACCAGGUUGUCCAUGACAAGAAUUCAGAAUUAAUUUCAUACUUGUAUAAAAUAAAAAAACUAAAGUAAACAAGUUGAUAAACAUCUUCUGCUUUUCUCUUUCUCCAGAUGUUCAUUUGAUGACAAACAUCAACACAUGUAGCUUGCUGAGAUGGUGGGUCAUUCAGGAAACACAGUCCGAGUGCAAGAUCACACCCCAACGUCUGAGCUUUAAUUUAAAAACAAUCAUUUUUGUUAGCAUUUAUGGUGAGAAAUUGCAUGUGUCUUUCAGUUUUCUUAAGUACCAAUAAAUCUCUUUAGCUUUGAUAUAAUCAUGUGAAUAUUUUUGUUGAUUUAAAUAAUUUGCUGCUAUUACAUUAAAUUGGUUAAAACGUUAACGUGAGAUAAAUAAAAGUGUAUCUAUAGGAGGAAAUCCUGC